rnacentral:lncRNA from 1 species
CAACAGCACCCCCCACCCGGGGAGCUUCCAAGGACCACGCCGCCGGCUGUCCCUGUGGGGCUCUGAGCGCAGAGCCCAGCCGGCUGGCUCCCUCCCAGCACGAACCCCGCGGACUCUCACCUCUCCGGGGGAGCAGGGGCUUCCGGGUCCUUGUAAAAGCCCCAGCCCGCUGCCCCAGGGCUGUUCUGCAGCUGCUGGAGAGAGAUGCGGAAUGAAUGUACUUUCAGGAAGAGGCAAGGGAAGAGAGGUUGGAAACUAACUCUGCCAGAAACUGCCGUGUUUGGAAUUUUUCUUUUCUUCUGCUGCAUUUCCACCGCGAGCCCAUCUCUCCCCUGGCCAUCGAGACGCGGGCUCCCCCGGCCCGGCAGAGAAACACCUGGAAAAGGGCUCCCUGAGACAGGAAGGCGGUUCCUCUUCCUCUGGCCAUACGUUGUAAAGGAAGGAAUGCAUAUGCGGAGUAACACUGUGUGGUGAGCAAGUGUGAAACGCAUGGGCUGUGAUUCAACUCCUCGCUGCCUGCCGGAAUCCAGCGGGCUGGAAUCGAGAAGAACUUUGAUUUCCAUUCAGCGGCUGAGUUCCUCCCUGGAUCGGAGUGCCGAUCGGCAUGUAAGGUUAUAGAUGCCUUGGAAACAGCUCUGGCUGGAAUGAAGAGUGUAGGAAGUUGAUGCAGGGUGAGGAGGUUGCAGGGUGCCGAGGAGGACAAGGCUGGGGAGAUGGUUUUUUAAAUGCAUGGGCUCGAUCUAAACCUCGUAUCCACAGUCAAGGGCCUCAAAUAGUUCUGAAGUGGAGAGAGCAUUAGAGGCCCCUUCACGGUGCAGAUAACAAGACCGAGGCCCAGAGAGGGGCAAUCACUGGCUUGAGGUUACACAACAAGGGUGGCUGAGGCAAGCGCCCUGGAACAUGGAGCCAUGUCCUCCAAAGGAGGAAGGAAACACGAUCACUGUGGUGGGGGGCCUGGGGGGCUCAGUGGGUUAAGCCUCUGCCUUUGGCUCAGGUCAUGAUCUUAG